GUGGGGAAUAUUGGGCAAUGGGGGAAACCCUGACCCAGCAACGCCGCGUGAGGGAAGAAGGUUUUCGGAUUGUAAACCUCUGUCCUUGGUGACGAAGGAAGUGACGGUAACCAAGGAGGAAGCCCCGGCUAACUACGUGCCAGCAGCCGCGGUAAUACGUAGGGGGCAAGCGUUGUCCGGAAUGACUGGGCGUAAAGGGCGUGUAGGCGGCCGAUUAAGUCUGGAGUGAAAGUCCUGCUUUCAAGGUGGGAAUUGCUUUGGAGACUGGUUGGCUUGAGUGCGGAAGAGGUAAGUGGAAUUCCCAGUGUAGCGGUGAAAUGCGUAGAGAUUGGGAGGAACACCAGUGGCGAAGGCGACUUACUGGGCCGUAACUGACGCUGAGGCGCGAAAGCGUGGGGAGCGAACAGGAUUAGAUACCCGAGUAGUCC
rnacentral:rRNA from 1 species